ACCUUAGUGGUGUAGUGGUCAACACGCUGGGCGCGUAUUCCAGAGGUCCGGGGUUCGAGUCCCGGCGAAGGCG
rnacentral:tRNA from 1 species